CAAGUGGAUAGGCAAAGGUACGAGACCAUACAGCCUAAUCUUCAGUAGUAUUUCCAUGAAAUUCAAAAAUUCUUCAAGGCGAUAUCGCCAAAUCUUUUCAUUAAUUAUAAGUUUGUGUUAAGUCCUUGUAAGUGUCCAUAAUUGAAAUGUUUAUAAUUCUCCGAUAGUUGCUAUGAUAAAGUCGUAAAUUGGUUUAAAAGUUGCAGUGCAUUUGAAUAGUUCUUGAAGCGAUGGCGGAAUAAUCUUAUAUAGUUCUUGAAGCUUGGCAAUGAGCAAAAUUCUGUUUAAAUUGAAGGCCGGGCAAUAAAAAAAUAUAUGUUCUAAUGUUUGAUUUUCGUUACUAGAGCAUAAAAGACAAAUCGGAGAAUUAAUGAUCUUCAUUCGGUGUAAAUGUGCAUUGAAUUUACAAUGUCCAAAUCGCAGUCGACAAAUUUGAGUAUAAAAUCUUCUCUCUAAAAAUAUUUUUCCCUGAAUAAACCAGGGUUUUUUGCCAAUAGUACUGUUUAUACCUGCAUACCAAGUACCUUUAUCUUUGGUAGUACGUUUCCAAUCUUCUUCCCAAUUUUUUAAUAAGUUUUUCCUAAUUUCAGGAAUUAAAUCUUGCCAAGGUAAGAAAAUUUUUUUAGACUCGCCACCCAAUCUAUUGACAGUUUUGACAAGGUAAUCUACUUCUUCAUUACCUGUCACACCUUUGUGUGCCGGUAUCCAAGUAAAUAUAAUUUCUUUUCCUUUAUUAAACAAAACAGUCCAUAGUUCUUUAAUUUGGUAAAUAAUAUAGCUUGUUUUGGCACUAAAUGAAUGAUUUUGCAACGCUGAUAAGACUGACAUGCUGUCACUAAUGAUAAGCCACUGAUUAUGAGGUUUAGCGCAUAUGUCUUCGUUAAUAUAAUGCAAAGCUUGCAAAAUAGCCAAGGCUUCGGCAGUGAAUAUACUAGUAAUGAGAAAUCAAGGAGAAUGUAUGGGAAUUUUAUGGAAUUAGAAGAAGAAGCAAUGGUUUGAGAAUCUGUAAUUUUUUGUAACAGUGAAUUAUUGGAAAAGCUAUGUAAUUUUAGCAAGAAUUUAAAUUUAAGAAAUUUGAAUCUUAAUGACAGAGAUGGAAUGUUGCAUUCUACUUGGAGAGAGACUAUUGGAGUUGUUUUCAUUGCACCAGUGAUUAGACGCAAAUUAUUAUUUUGGAUUGUCUCUAAUUUUUUUAAGAGUGUGGGGUUGGAAGCAAAGCAAAGGUAACUGUACUCAAAGUGAGAACGGACUAUGGAUUUGUACAACAUAAGUAAAAUCUUUGGAUCAGCCCCCCAAAAUGUUUUGGAAAGGCAUUUUAAAAUAUUAAAAGCUCUAGAAGCUUUAUCAGAUAUAUUACAGACAUGCUUAUUCCAAGAUAGAUUUUUUGUUAAUGUUACACCAAGAAACUUGGCUUCAGCUACUACAGGCAGUAUGCUACCAUUAUAAUUAAUAUUAGCAUGCAAAGUUCUUGAUCUACUGAAUAUAACAACUUUAGUUUUAUCUAAACUAAUAUCUAAUUGUAAAUAUUUAAAAUAAACAUUUAAUUUCUUUAGAGCUUUGUUUAUUUUAUUUUCUACUAUAUGAAUAUUUGAGCCUGAACAGUAAACUGCUAAAUCAUCAGCAAACUGUAAAUUGCUGACUUCAUUACCAAGAAUAAUAUUAAUUUUAUGAAUAUACAAAAUAAAUAACAGUGGACUCAAUAUUCCCCCUUGACAUACACCUAUAUAUGAAGAUUGUGGACCAUAUAAAUUAUUAUUGUACUUAACAUAGACUUGUCUAUUAUGUAGGAAAUUAAAAAUCCAGUUAAUCAACUUAUCUGGUAUUCCUAGUGUUUGCAGUUCAUUAGUUAGAAUAUGAUGAUUAACAUUGUUAAAAGCACCAACUAUAUCAAAGAAGACAGAAACCAGUAUAUUGUUACUAGAAAAAGCACGAUGAAUAUCUAGGUUUAAAUGAUUUAAGCUCUCUGUAGCUGAAAAACCUUUCCUGAAGCCAAACUGAUUUGAAGAUAACUGAUAGAGGAGUUUGCCGAUUGAUCGACUCACAGAAUUUUAACCAACUGGCAUUUCUUUCGUUUUUGAGAUGUUACAUAAAAGGUGGGUGAUGGUUGGAAGAUGAUAGCUCCCUAAAGGAUUAUCAUGUACAGACCAAUUGCAUCGGAGUGACAGAGAGGCAGAAACAAUUGUAAGAUCCAGAGCACUUGGACUCCAUAUAUCAGAGCCUACAGUAGUGGGUUGACCAUUAUUAAUUAUACAAAGAUCAUUGUCUUCAAUAGUAUUAAGAAGAAUAGUGCCUCUAGAAUCGGUUCUAGAGCAACCCCAAGUGGUAUUGUGGGCGUUAAAGUCACCCGCUAUUAUCAUAGGUGACGGGAUAGAUUUAAAUAAGUUAUCUAAAUGUAAAUGUGUAAAGUUACGUGACGUUGCGGAUGUAGGGCUGUAAAAACUAACAAAAGAAAUUGUUUCAUUUUUCAAAUAUAAUUUUAAAGCGAUAUUUUGCAAAGAAUCAUCGUGAUAUGUAUUUAAUCUGUCAUAAUUCAAUUUGUUUUGUAUUAGAAUGGCUACACCAUUAUGAUUAUUACCAAUGUCUAAUCUUUCUAUAUUGUAACCUUUGAUAUUAAAGUUUUUGAAAGGCUUUAGCCAAGUUUCAGAAAGAAGGGCGAUAUGUAUAUUGUUGUUAUAUAAAAAAUAAGUAAAAGCAAGUCUAUUAUUUAUCAAGCUCUGGGCAUUCCACUCGAUAAUAUUUAAAAUAUUAUCCAUUAAAGAGAUACUAUUAAUUAGUGUUAGUACUGGAAAUCUUAAAAGUAUCUAAAAUUAUGUUUUUUAUGCCUUCUGAGUUUAAGGGAGAGUCAUCUGUUUUAUUAACAGAAAUAAUUUUAAUAACUGAUGCAAUGAUUAGUUUUAAAAAGUCAUCAUUUUGCAAUAAUGUGUUAAUAUUGUCAGUAGGUUUAGUUUUAGUGUUUAAAGAUGGAAAAGAUUUUUCAUUAAAUAAACUAGAGAA